AUACGUAGGUGGCAAGCGUUAUCCGGAAUUACUGGGUGUAAAGGGCGUGUAGGCGGCCUUUUAAGUUGGAUGUUUAAUUUUGUGGCUUAACUGCAAGAUGUCAUCCAAAACUGAAGGGCUUGAGUGUCAGAGGGGAAAGUGGAAUUCCUAGAGUAGCGGUAAAAUGCGUAGAUAUUAGGAGGAACACCGGCGGCGAAGGCGGCUUUCUGGCUGACAACUGACGCUGAGGCGCGAAAGCGUGGGGAGCAAACAGGAUUAGAUACCCUGGUAGUCCACGCUGUAAACGAUGAAUACUAGGUGUGGGUGGUAUCGACUCCAUCUGUGCCGUCGUUAACGCAGUAAGUAUUCCACCUGGGGAGUACGGCCGCAAGGCUGAAACUCAAAUGAAUUGACGGGG
rnacentral:rRNA from 1 species